AGACAGAUUUGAGCCGUCGCUGCACCUGAAACCGAGGUUUAGGUGUAGAGGAACUUCCCGACUUCCAGGUCUUCUGUACGUGCAGAAGCCAGGUUGCCUCACGAAACAGCAAGUGAGGGCGGGCGCUAUACAGAGCGUCUGACUACAACCGCAACAGAGAGCAAUCCCGCCUCUGGCCGAGAUGUGGCUUUUGUCCAACAACGAAGCGCAUGUAGGGUCAGGGGUAAGGGCUGAAAGGGUGGGGUAAGAGCCCACCAGCGGGCGCAGUAAUGGGUCCGGCUAGGCGAGCGUGCAACUGGAAGCAAGGCGAGUGGGCCGCGCUGGCAGACGCCGCAAGGCGGUGCAGGUGCGGUCUCGUCGCAGCGGUGCGGGCGAGGCCAGGUAACACCUGGCAGACCACCAACCGCCAGCCUGCCUUUGGGCAGCUGAGACAGAUGACGGCACAUACAGAAUCGGGGGUACCAAAUCUGUCUUCAA
rnacentral:RNase_P_RNA from 1 species